rnacentral:rRNA from 1 species
UACGUAGGGGGCAAGCGUUGUCCGGAUUUAUUGGGCGUAAAGAGCGUGUAGGCGGCCAAAUAGGUCGGUUGUGAAAACUGGAGGCUUAACCUCCAGACGUCGACCGAAACCAUUUGGCUAGAGUCCGGAAGAGGAGAGCGGAAUUCCUGGUGUAGCGGUGAAAUGCGCAGAUAUCAGGAAGAACACCCGUGGCGAAGGCGGCUCUCUGGGACGGUACUGACGCUGAGACGCGAAAGCGUGGGGAGCGAACAG